rnacentral:rRNA from 1 species
UACGGAGGGGGCUAGCGUUGUUCGGAAUUACUGGGCGUACAGCGCACGUAGGCGGCUUUGUAAGUUAGAGGUGAAAGCCCAGGGCUUAACCCUGGAAUUGCCUUUAAGACUGCAUCGCUAGAAUCGUGGAGAGGUGAGUGGAAUUCCGAGUGUAGAGGUGAAAUUCGUAGAUAUUCGGAAGAACACCAGUGGCGAAGGCGACUCACUGGACACGUAUUGACGCUGAGGUGCGAAAGCGUGGGGAGCAAACAGG